rnacentral:tRNA from 1 species
GCCCCGGUAGCUAAGCCCGGUUAUAGCAACGGCCUCGUAAGCCGUGGGUCGCGGGUUCAAAUCCCGCCCGGGGCUCCA